rnacentral:tRNA from 1 species
GGCUACGUAGCUCAGUUGGUUAGAGCACAGCACUCAUAAUGCUGGGGUCGUAAGUUCGAAUCUCACCGUAGCCACCA